rnacentral:rRNA from 1 species
GACAGAGGGGGCAAGCGUUGCUCGGAAUUACUGGGCGUAAAGAGUGUGUAGGCGGUGCUCUAAGUUCGGUGUGAAAUCUCCUGGCUCAACUGGGAGGGUGCGCCGGAAACUGGGGUGCUGGAGCGCGGGAGAGGAAAGCGGAAUUCCUGGUGUAGCGGUGAAAUGCGUAGAUAUCAGGAGGAACACCGGCGGUGUAGACGGCUUUCUGGACCGUAGCUGACGCUGAGACACGAAAGCGUGGGUAGCAAACAGG